CGGAGGGGCUAGCGUUGUUCGGAAUUACUGGGCGUAAAGCGCGCGUAGGCGGCUUUGUAAGUUAGAGGUGAAAGCCCGGAGCUCAACUCCGGAAUUGCCUUUAAGACUGCAUCGCUAGAAUCAUGGAGAGGUGAGUGGAAUUCCGAGUGUAGAGGUGAAAUUCGUAGAUAUUCGGAAGAACACCAGUGGCGAAGGCGACUCACUGGACAUGUAUUGACGCUGAGGUGCGAAAGCGUGGGGAGCAAACAGGAUU
rnacentral:rRNA from 1 species